rnacentral:snRNA from 1 species
AAGUGUUACAGCUCUUUUAGAAUUUAUCUAGCAGGCUUUCUGUCCCUU